rnacentral:lncRNA from 1 species
UGCACCAAACGAGGACAAAGUUCCACGAUAUUGACUUAAUUUUGGCUCUGGAAGUGAAUGUGUGUUGAAAGUAGAUCCAAUAGAUGAACUCAGUAUUGGUAAAUAUGUGGUCUCCGUGACUACUCCUUCCUAUAUCCUUGCCAACUGCCAAGAGUUGUGGCCUUCCCUGUGUUAGAUACCUGUGGUUGCAAAAUUGAAGCUAAUCCGGGUAAAUUAGAGUGGGUUGUUGGGCUCAUGAUACUGGCAAUGAACUCU